AUGAUAUGCUUCUUUGCAGUCGAGUGGCACUUUGUAGACCGUGUGGCAAGACAAUUUGGAAAAAGACAAGGUAUUCCAAUUGAGGAGAGCAAGGAGGAAAUGCUAUCUCUGCAUCGGUUCGAUCGAAGGAACAAUCAGGAUAUAUCGGAUUGGGCAAACAAACACCGUGCGUGGAUAGAAAUUUGGAAUCAAAGAGACACGUUAGUGCAAUGAGAGAAUAGACCUCACAAUCAGUCAGCAUAUCAGAAGUACCAAGUGUGGUAUGCGGAUCGUUACCGGUUAAAACUGAAGCCAGGUUGGACUCACGAGGAGUGGUUGGAGUUGGUGUCUGAAGACCCGGAGACUGCAGAAGGUUAUCAUACCUUCAACACGGCUGUGAGAGACACCAGAGGGGCUCAUGUUGACUACGCACCGAUGCAUGAUGAAAUUGUAGUCUGUUUGACCUAUUCUAACAUACUUGCAUCAUGUUGUCUUCUUUCAAAUACAUAA
rnacentral:rRNA from 1 species